UACGUAGGUGGCAAGCGUUGUCCGGAUUUACUGGGCGUAAAGAGCGCGCAGGCGGUCGUUCAAGUCGCGUGUGAAAGCCCCCGGCUCAACUGGGGAGGGUCACGCGAUACUGAUCGACUCGAAGGCAGGAGAGGGUAGUGGAAUUCCCGGUGUAGUGGUGAAAUGCGUAGAUAUUGGGAGGAACACCGGUGGCGAAGGCGGCUCACUGGACCGGUACUGACGCUGAGACGCGAAAGCCAGGGGAGCAAACGGG
rnacentral:rRNA from 1 species